GGAGAGAGAAGGAGAGGGAGAAGAGGAGGAGGAGGAGGUCGCCGGCGGCGAGGAGGGGGACGAGAUCGCCGGAGAUGGACAUCAUCUCGCAGCUGCAGGAGCAGCUGAACGAGAUGGCGAUGGUGGCGGUGAACACCUUCGGGACGCUGCAGCGGGACGCGCCGCCGGUCCGCCUCUCCAACAACUACCCGGACCCGCUCAACCCCGCCGCCGCCGCAGCAGCAAACCCUAACCCCGACGACCCCGCCCAGCCGCAGCCUGGAGCGGCGGCGGCGGCGGCGGCGGGAGCUCCGGCUGCGCAGGCACAGGCUCCGCCGGCGCAGGCCCAGCCGCCCGCGCUCGACCUCGCCGAGCAUCCCAAGGCCAUGAGCCACGCGCUCGUCCUCGCCGCCAAGAAGGAGCUUCACUCAUAUUAUUCCUCGCAAAGAAGGGUUGACGAUGAUGUGGAUCACACCAAUCUUUGUACUGUUCCUCGCAAAAUGUAGGUGGGAUGAUGUUUGAUGCUCUUGUUUCUGCGUUGCCACUAUCAUCUGAAGAGGAUCAGCUGAAAAGAAUUAAAGAGCUACAGGCAGAGAAUGAAGUUGUAGGCACAGAGCUUCAGAAACAACUGGAAGCUGCUGAGCUGGAGCUGAAGCAAGUUGAGGCUCUUUUUAAUGAAGCUACAGAUCAUUGUAUAAACUUGAAGAAGCCAGAGUAAUAGUUAUCAAUGUAACGGAACCCAUUUUGGAGUCAUGAACAGAUGAAGGUGGAGAUGUGAAUGCCAGCUGCCGAUGCUACAUGUAGACUCAGUUUUAGUAUCAAGUUAGCUGAUGCUCAACAAUAUUCCAGUAGUACUUGUUGGAUUAGGAAUUAAACCUAGCACUGUAAUUUACAGUAACUUGAAUAGUUUCAAGCUGGUUCGUUUAAUCUGAAAUAAUUUGAGCAUAACUUCAUGUUUAUUUAUUA